rnacentral:rRNA from 1 species
UGGGGAAUAUUGCACAAUGGGGGAAACCCUGAUGCAGCGACGCCGCGUGAACGAAGAAGGUAUUCGUAUCGUAAAGUUCUGUCCUAUGGGAAGAUAAUGACAGUACCAUAGAAGAAAGCUCCGGCUAAAUACGUGCCAGCAGCCGCGGUAAUACGUAUGGAGCGAGCGUAGUCCGGAAUUAUUGGGCGUAAAGGGUACGCAGGCGGUUUAAUAAGUCGAAUGUUAAAGAUCGGGGCUCAACCCCGCAAAGCAUUGGAAACUGAUAAACUUGAGUAGUGGAGAGGAAAGUGGAAUUCCUAGUGUAGUGGUGAAAUACGUAGAUAUUAGGAGGAAUACCAGUAGCGAAGGCGACUUUCUGGACACAAACUGACGCUGAGGUACGAAAGCGUGGGGAGCAAACAGG